rnacentral:rRNA from 1 species
UACGAAGGGGGCUAGCGUUGUUCGGAAUCACUGGGCGUAAAGCGCACGCAGGCGGAUUGAUAAGUCAGGGGUGAAAUCCCGGGGCUCAACCUCGGAAUUGCCUUUGAUACUGUCUGUCUUGAGUCCGGGAGAGGUGAGUGGAAUUCCUAGUGUAGAGGUGAAAUUCGUAGAUAUUAGGAAGAACACCAGUGGCGAAGGCGGCUCACUGGCCCGGUACUGACGCUGAGGUGCGAAAGCGUGGGGAGCAAACAGG